ensembl:lncRNA
CAGAGAGACAGCUGGGAACAGAGGAGAAUCCUCGAGAGCAGAUCACAGACACGCACAUGGCCUCCAAUCUGCAUCCAGAUUGAUUUCAUCGCGCAUGCAUGCUUGCAGUUCACCUGGAUGUCUGAGCCACACUGAGAUUUCGGGUGAGCUCGCUAAUCUUUGGGCAACCCUCUUCCCCUCACCUCUGUCCUCAGUGACCCUGACGCCUGCUUGACCCAGAGCACCUCCUGGUCCUACUUCCUCAGCGCCUCAGAGAUGAUGUAAUGACUGUUCUAUGACUGUCCCUCUUCUCCAAGAGGGCUUUAAUUUUGCUACAGUUGAAUAGACAGUGGUCUCAGAAAAAGCUUGCUUUCUAAAGCAGUGAACCAGCCAUCCAGAGAGGGUUGCUGAGCGAUGGCCUUACCUCCCUGGUCCCCCGCCGAGGAUGGUCACAGGGGAGGAUGCUCAUGGCGACCACGGCUGUCAAACGCUGUUUCCAUGAUGCCAAAGAAUGAUUGGUUUCAUGGAUCCGGACAGUGCUCUCUGACAGCACAGGGGGAGUCUCGGCUGCACCUGGGAGAAGAAACACUGGCAGGAUGUGAAAUGUUACUGAACAGGGUCAUUGCAAGGGUCAUCGUAUGACCUGUCACCCCCCCACC